rnacentral:lncRNA from 1 species
CAGAAAAAUAAAGUCAGCCACUGUUUCCCCAUCUAUUUGCCAUGAAGUGUCUGCUGAGCCCCAAUUCCACAUCUUGAUGGGUCCACUGACUCACUGGGACCUGACAACAACCUAAGACAAGUCCUACCACAUCUAUGCCAGGUGGCUCCAGACUGGUUGCAGGCUGAUCCUUGCAGAAUACAAGCCUGAGCCUGUGGCCAGGCUACUUCAACCCCUCAGAGGCUGUGACCAGCUCUCAGGCACAGACCAGGUCCCGUGAUAGGGCUCCCGGCUCAGCGGGACCUGCUCCCUCCCCCUUUCUCCCUGCUCCCACCUUUACACACCAGCUUCCUUUCUCUGGACUCACACACACCCUCUGAACGCAUCUCACAUCCAAGGAUCUUCCUUGGGGAGCACCGCCCCGCCUGAUCCACAUUCUCACAGAGUUCCUGUGGCUCCUCCCCCAAGAUCCCCACCAGAGCCUGUCAUUCCACACUCCUGUGUGCACUUAGUCUUCACCUCAACUGAGCUCUGCCAGGGCAGGACCUGUGUCCUUCUGGCCAAGGUCGCACCGCUGUUUAUCAUGGGACAGGAAAGCAGUGCAUGAGGGUUUGAACUUGGCUCUCCCAGAGCCCCAGCCUCCCCAAUUCAACAGCUGCCAGCCCCCAAUUUUCAGGACAGCCACCUCUGCCAUCUCUCUCCUCUGGUGA